AUUGAACGCUGGCGGCAGGCCUAACACAUGCAAGUCGAACGGUAACAGGAAGCAGCUUGCUGCUUCGCUGACGAGUGGCGGACGGGUGUGUCAUGUCUGGGAAACUGCCUGAUGCAGGGGGAUAACUACUGGAAACGGUAGCUAAUACCGCAUAACAUCUCAAGACUAAAGAGGGGGACCUUAGGGCCCCUUGCCAUCGGUCGUGCCCAGAUGGGCGUAGUUUGUAGGUGGGGGAACGGCUCACCCAGGCGACGAACACUAGCUGGUCUCAGAGGAGGACCAGCCACACUGGAACUGAGACACGGUCCAGACUCCUACGGGAGGAAGCAGUGGGGAAUAUUGCACAAUGGGCGAAAGCCUGAUGCAGCCAUGCCGCGUGUAUGAAGAAGGCCUUCGGGUUGUAAAGUACUUUCAGCGGGGAGGAAGGGAGUAAAGUUAAUACCUUUGCUCAUUGACGUUACCCGCAGAAGAAGCACCGGCUAACUCCGUG
rnacentral:rRNA from 1 species